ensembl:snoRNA
CCCUCCUACAAAGGUGUAUUGGUGGUUUUCCGACCUUGGACAUGUAAGAAUUGGAGGCAAAGAGAUGUGGACUUGGAGAAGUCUGGAGCCAGCUUGCUCUCUGCAGGCUCAAGAUCACCCUUUCCCACACAG